AAUGCACCAAUUUGUAAGUCGCUCUGGAUAAGAGCGUCUGCUAAAUCUCCUAAA
rfam:Salmo salar isolate Sally breed double haploid chromosome ssa23, whole genome shotgun sequence.